rnacentral:rRNA from 1 species
GAGUACCCCAAGUGUUAUCCGGAAUCAUUGGGCGUAAAGGGUGUGUAGGUGGUCUGGUUAGUCUUCUGUAAAAAUCUUGGGCUCAACCCAAGACCUGCGGAGGAAACGGCCAAACUCGAGGGUGCGAGAGGUGAAUGGAACUCAUGGAGUAGGGGUGAAAUCCGUUGAUAUCAUGGGGAACACCAAAAGCGAAGGCAAUUCACUGGCGCAUCUCUGACACUGAAACACGAAAGCGUGGGUAGCGAACGGGAUUAGAUACCCCGGUAGUCCACGCCCUAAACGAUGACAACUAGCUUUUCGAGGUAUCAACCCCUUGAGAGGCGAAGCUAACGCGUUAAGUUGUCCGCCUGGGUAGUACGGCCGCAAGGCUA